ensembl:lncRNA
GUUACCAAUACCACAGCAGAGAUCGCACUUCGGGAUGUGUGAUGGCUGGCAGGGCAAACCUCUCCCGAAACGUCCACGGACCUUGGCAGCUCUAGGCAACCGCGUAGGACAGCGCCCUUCCUCGCAACAAUCACCUGGAGGGCCUCUCUCCCCGUCGUUUUCACUGGCGUCCAGACUCAGCGAACAACAAACGCCCAAAACCGCCGCACCACUCUCAGCGACCGACCCGACGCAAAACCGCACCAAACCCAACCUAGUAAUAAACUGAACUUACAAAAACAAAACAAACAAAACCAGCGUGUUUGCACAAUUUCGGGGUCUUUCACACUCCUGCGCCCCUCUCUCCGCGCCUUUUUCCUCUCCCCUCCCCUUUUCUGUGCCCGUCAUUCGUCUUAAAGGCGCAGUCUAUUUGUACCCCGUUACAUAUGUCCUGCUGUGAUGAUCUAAAAGCAGGUGGGGAAAGCAGGGGCUUGUGGAGGACUCCUUUUUUUUCCUUUUUCUUAGCCCUAUACAUUGGAACAGUACAAGAGUAUGAACAACAACAGUUUUGUAAGACUGCAAACUUGCCAAUCACAAAAUGUCUUUAUGUGAGUGAUAAUGCAUGGCCAUCUGUAAUCAGACCUUGUAUGCUUCUCCCCCUCAUCUGCAGGCACAGUUUCUUUCAGCUUUGAGGAAGGGCUGCAUUAGAAAAGAAAUCACUCAAUAAGCAUGCAUUGUUUUGUGUAGCUGAUGGUUUUCAUAGUAUAGAUUACUGCACAGUGCUUACAUUCUCCUUCUUUUACCCCUUUCAUCAUGUGAUGUCAGGGUGCUCCUGGUUUGGGCUUUUUUCAGGUUCAUACGCGCUGCAUCAUAAUUGGCUGUUGAAGACAACAAUGAAGUCUCAUCUGGCAUAGCGCUUUGGAUGACUGCAACUUUCGUCCCCUUGGUGUCUUUAUGCGGUGGCCAAAAAGACACCUUGCCAUCCAAACUUAGCCACGAGCAAGGCACAACCUCCACCUCGUUUGACUCGGUUCCCAACCACAGCUGUCCCCAGUGCAGUUGAAUCAAUGGGGUGGUUGAAAAAUGGACGUUGGUCUAAAUAUUGCCUCGCCACAAAAGACGUACCACCAAGUGUCCUGCUAAUUGCCUCUAUUUUAAAAGUGGCACCACCACACGAAACUGUGUUGUUCCCAUCCUUUGUGGACAGGGUAAAUCUAUCAGUGGCGUACUGUGUUGUUGAGGGUGAACUUUGGUUAUGGGAAGAUGGACAGACUGGGUUGAUGCUUGAUUUUUCCGUUAAUCGUUUAACAAUUUGUUGUAAUGUCUGGUUUGGC